CGCGAGCUUGUUGUGAUGCACGCUAGGGCCAGCAGGGGGGGUGUGGUCGCGUCGUGAUUCUCUGUUUCUUCUUCGUGGACUGAAACAUAACUGCAGAGAAUUCUGAGCACUCGACACGCCGUUGCCCCGUCUCCUGAUUAUUCUCCUCUAUUUCAGACUGAAACGCUGAUCCAUGCUGUCUACAGCCCCACUGGCCUCUGCAAACAGCCAUCUAUCUCUUAAAAGCCGUGUGUACACUCUGCUUGCCAACAGUAAUACAUUACUACCAGACACUGAGACAGAGGGUGCUUUCUUUACCGCUCCUCCCUCACCAGCACUGACAGCUCUGAGGAAUGUUACAUGGCCGCAGCCACCCCCUGGAGCUCACCUGUCCAAUUCAAGGGCGAAAAGGAAAAUGAAAUGCACUACUACACGGAUGUAUCUACAUUUCCGUACCAUUUAAUUUUUUUCCCCCGCAUUGCUUGAGGAGGCCGUCUAGAAAAUCAGGACAGAGCAGCAAGGACAUCACCCACAAACAUCAAGAGAGAGACACGACUCCGACAAAGCGCUGCAUACAAUGAAUAAAGCAGAUGCUGAAACGAUAACGAACAAAAUUACAUUAUGCCAUCCAUUUCAAUUCACAUAUUCACUUUCUUUAUGCAUGCUAUCAUAGAAUGUUCAUUUCAUUAUCUGAUUAAGAGCAGCUCUUGAAAUAUUCUGCAUUACAAAUCCUAUUAAAGAAAGAAUGUAGGCCUGCUUUCAUUUCCAUGA